rnacentral:rRNA from 1 species
GAUGAACGCUGGCGGCGUGCCUAAUACAUGCAAGUCGAGCGAACAGACGAGGCGCUUGCUCCUCUGACGUUAGCGGCGGACGGGUGAGUCACACGUGGAUACCCUACUUAUAAGACUGGUAUAACUUCGGAAAACCGGAGCUAAUCCCGGAUAAUAUAUUGAACCGCAUGGUUCAUUAGUGAAAGACGGCUUUGCUGUCACUUCUCGAUGCUUCCGCGCCGCAUUAGCUAGUUGGUAAGUUACCGGCUUACGAAGGCAACGAUGCGUAGCCGGCCUGAGAGGGUGAUCGGGCAUGAUGGAACUAAGAGCCGCUUCAGAAUCCAAAGGGAGGCAGCAGUAGGGAAUCAGCCACCAGGGGCGAAAGCCUGACGAAGGAACGCAGCGUGAGGGAUGAAGGUCUUCGGAUCGUAAAACUCUGUUAUUAGGGAAGAACAAAUGUGUAAGUAACUAUGCACGUCUUGACGGUACCUAAUCAGAGAGCCACGGCUAACUACG